UAAGAAACACUACAAUGCUUCCUCCAAGUAAUAAUACUCCUCCAUCAAAUGAUAACCAUAAUGUGUAACCCUGCACUCUCAAAAGACCGCUCAAAACUCAAUAAAUUCCAUCCAACACCAAGAAUAACAGACUUCACUCCAACCAAUCUAAAUUCACAGAAUUCUUAUAAUCACAGACUUCCUCUGUCGAAAUACACACACAACUCUCAAUAAACAACAAUCAUAAUCUUCCAUCCAUAAUCAAUCUUCCAAUAACUUCUCAUAUAAUUCAAUCACUUAGUACUCCAAUUACAUAAUCAAUAACUCAUAAAUCAAUCUUUGAUUUAUUCUACAGACUCACUUCUCAAUAUUCAGAAACUAUCCAUUAUUCUUCAACAACAAAGAAAACAAAAGAAACAAAGAGGAAGCCCCAAACUUAACCCCGGCUCAUGACUAUCACAAUUUGGUAUUUUCUUCCUCUCUCCCAUCCUCCUUAUACUACCCCAAGAUACCAACUCCUAUACUACAGAUGAUAACUACUUUUCUUGACUAUUCAUCUAUUCUACCUACUGAACCACUUUUUCAGCAGUUAUCUAUCUUUAUUUAUACUAUACACUAGAUAUCUACAUUCUAAAAAUAAUUACUUAUUCUACAUAGCUCCAC
rnacentral:lncRNA from 1 species